UAGACAUAAAGGUAGACAUAAAGGUAGAAAUAAAGAUAGACAUAAAGGUAGACAUAAAGGUAGACAUAAAGGUACACAUAAAGGUAGAAAUAAAGGUACACAUAAAGGUAGAAAUAAAGGUAGAAAUAAAGGUAGACAUAAAGGUAGACAUAAAGGUUGACAUAAAGGUAGACGUAAAGGUAUACAUAAAGGUAGACAUAAAGGUAUACAUAAAGGUAGACAUAAACGUAGGCAUAAAGGUAGACCUAAAGGUAGACAUAAAGGUAGACAUAAAGGUAGACAUAAAGGUAGGA